UUUGGGGGAUUUGGGUUUCCCGCAGCCUCACGGGGCUUCGCCGCUCCGACCGUGACAAAGCGGAUUUGUACCUUCCAGCCCCCGGCACCGCACGAGUGCCCUUUUAAUAGCACACCGUUGUGUAUUCGCACCCUGCCUCCCCAGUCCGAAAUUCAAAACUUUGGGUGGGGAACCGUGAAUAAACCAUUAUAAAAGAUCUGGAGCCCCAAAACACAGGAUCAUAGAAUAAUAAGAUGUUUUGGGUUGGAAGGGACCUUAAAAGAUCAUGUAUUUCCAACCCCUCUGCCGUGGGCAGGGACACCUUCCACUAGACCAGGUUGCUCAGAGCCCCAUCCAACCUGGUCUUGAACAUUUCAAAGGAUGGGGCAUCCACAGCUUCUCAGGACAACCUGUGCCAGUGCGUCACCAGCCUGACAGUAAAGAAUCGUUUCCUAACAUCUAAUUUAAAACUACUCUCUUUCAGUUUGAAGUGGUUCCCUCUUGUCCUGUCACUACAAGCCCCUGUAUAGUCCCUCUCCAUUUUCUUAUAGCUCCCUUCAGCUACUGGAAGGCUGCAAUUAGGUCACCCUGAAGCCUUCUCUUCUGCAGGCUGAACAAACCCAAUUCUCUCAGCACUUUUUAACAGGAGAGGUCUUCCAUCCCUCUAGUCAUCUUGGUGUCCCUCCUCUGGACUUGCUCCAACAGGUCAAUGUCUUUCCUGCACUGAGGACCCCAGAGCUGGUUGCAGCACUCCAGGUAGGGUCUCACCAGAGGAGAGUAGAGGGAGAGAAUCCCCUCCCUUGGCCUGCUGACUAUGCUGCUUUUGAUACAGCCCAAGACACAAUUGGCUUUCUGGGCUCCAAGUGCACAUUUCUGGGUCAUGUCCAGCUUCUCAUCCACAAGUCCUUCUCAGCAGGGCUGCUCUCAUUCUGUUCAUCCCCCAGCCUGUACUGAUAUCAGGGGUUGCCCCUAACCCUGGUGAAGCACAUUGCAUUUGGUCUUGUUGAACCUCAUGAGAGUCCCAUGGACCCACUUCUUGAGCUUGUCCAGAUCUCUCUGGAUGGCAUCCUGUCCCCCAGGUGCGGAUUUAGGGCAGUUUUCAGCUUAGGUUCCUCAACAUGCUUCCAGGAUUGUUCGCCUUUGGCAGGACAGAUGGAAAAACAUCUCCUUUUGAAGUCUUGGGUCAGGACCUGCUGCCAGUCUGGAUUUCAGUUCAUGCCGUGUGAUGCCAGGGCACAUGCAGCCAGGUCUGCACAGGCAGAGGGCCCUGAGGUUACCUGGCAUUGCACAGAAAACCUUGCCAGGGCUGAAAUGGUGGCCUUAAAUAUUGAAGUGGCAGAGAGGUACCGAAACUACCUUUACACACAUGCCCUUCAAAUACUAGCCACCUGUGAAAUAAAGUGUUUCAAGGCCUGGCAGAUAUGAAUAAGUAUUAUACCAGGGAGCCAGGUGCAGCAGCUAUUAAAAACAUUCUGCAGUGACUGUACUGGCUAACAGAAAAACAACCAAAAAAGCCACUUCCUCAUCCAUCGUGCCAGCCCUGUAGUGCUGGGCUCACAGACAGCUCCUUUACCGUUGAUGUUAUUUGCCUUUUAAAUUUCAGCAACCCAAACUGCUGAGCGAGGAUCGUGGCUGUGCUGUACGAAGUUGUGUGCCACUGUCAGCAUAACUUAUUUCCAGGCUGCAUGGAGGCAGGGCUCACUGUGUUGUCUGACAAACUGGCUUCAUCCUGAAAGCUGGAGGUGAUCCAGGGAACCAUUUUGCAAGGAGCAUAACCUUGAAAGUGCAUGCCAAAAGGUAUUUUUGUCCUUCUGAGCCAAUUGAAACAGGUACAUUUCCAGUGUGUGCUUGCAUGCUUACUUUUUGGCUUACUGCUAUCAGGCUACACUGCUGUAACGUAACUCCUAUACUGUUGCAUUUUUGACAUUGUGUAGUACAUAAACUGACAGAGUAAAAAUGAACAGGAAAUUAAAGUUCUUUGGCCCAGAUUUCAUAUAACUGUCCCUGUAACUCAUCAAAGCAAUAUCACAGGGACUUGCAUAAAUAAAUACACAUGAACAGAUACAUAUUUGCACCAAACAUUUUUACACUUUUUUUUUCAAAUUGUAUUUAUAAAACCUGAUCCACCUACUUUUUCCCCAGCUACUUUUGAGAGAGAGAAGGAUGACAAUUUUCUGUCCUAUCUGUGUAGUGAGAUUUUGUAUUUACUCUAAGGUGAAAGAUAAUUUUCAGGGCUGUGACACAACCAGCUGAAGCUUGAAACACUUUCAAUGAGAGAGAUUUAUUAUGCCAAUAAAAUGCCAAGAAGUUGUAAUCACUUAAUGCACACCCACAUGCUCGCCCCACACACACACCUAGGGAGAAACAACCAGCAUGGAUUUGUGAAAAUCCAAUGUCAAACCAAUUUAACUUGUUUUGAAGCAGAGCAGGAAGGUUUAUGAACAUGGAGAAAACAGCAAACGUUAUAUAUAUUGACUUCAGUAAGGCUUUUUGCAGUGUGACCUUCUGACAUAUCAAUAACUUGGGGUAUCCUAUGGCAGAAACACAAUCCAGAUUAAACACCAGAACUGAUUAAUGGCCCAAUAGUGAGUGUUCAGCAUAGAAGAAUAUAUCAUAUGGGAUGUGUUCUCAUGGCUUUUGUCCAAUCCUGUAUUUACCAUCCAGGUCAGGGGAUGCAAACUGCAUGUGCCCAGCCUGAAGAUGACACCAAACAAAGACAGGACUGUAAGCAUGCUGGAGGUCCUGCAUUGAAAUUAAGAUUAAAAUUCAAAGUGAUCUUGCAAAUUGAAGAACAUGUUUGAAAAAAAUUACAUGUUAUGCGAUAGCAAAAAUCACCAUUCCACACAGGACAGACAGAAAAUAGCCUACAUAAACAUUCUUCUGCAGAAGCAGAACAGGACAUGCCACUAUGAAGACUGGAAAUGCCAUGUAUGUUUGUAUUAAAACAGUACAUCCCAAA